AUCUUCCGCAAUGGACGAAAGUCUGACGGAGCAACGCCGCGUGAGUGAAGAAGGCCUUCGGGUCGUAAAACUCUGUUGCCGGGGAAGAACAAGUGCCGUUCGAACAGGGCGGCGCCUUGACGGUACCCGGCCAGAAAGCCACGGCUAACUA
rnacentral:rRNA from 1 species